GUUAAACAAGACAAUCAUGAAAUGAUGUUUAAUGAAUUUUCUUUCUACAGAGCAAUUUCAGUGAAAGUGACUUCACAAAAGGCCUACUCACCAGCUCCUCUAGCUCAUGCCGAAGUGUGAAUGCCCUGUUGGCCAUGCCUUUGAAGACAGGAUCAGCUGUUUGGAGAUCUUUCUGAAGAACAUAUAGGGACUUGACACUUAAAGAGCAACUUACAUGGUCAACUGGGAUCAUCAGAAGUGGAUUGGCUAUCACGCUGUUGGAGAUAUCUUUUGCCCUGGAUUUUUUGGAGCCAUCAGCAAGCUGAUAGGUGCAUUUGCACCAUUUUCGUGAUUGUAUCCGAUGCCACUACUAUCUACAAUUCAUUUGACAUUCCAAGUUGAGUCAUGCAGCUCCUAACUAAAUAUUUCCGGGAAAAGCAGUUA